GCUCCCGAACUACUCAAAAAAAAAAGGAAAGCUCCCGGUGCCCCAGCCCACACCUAUCGCGUCGCCGGCUCGCCGCCGCGCCGCCCGGCUGGUGCACCGCCUCAGACCAAUGGCGCGGGAGGAGGAGAAGAGAGAGGGAGAGAGAGCGCGCGCAGAGCGAAGUGGCAACUCGGCCAUUGUUUUUGAUACUUGACACUUUUGAGCAACUGAGUACCUUGGAAUACCCUGUCUCUGGAAUGCAGUGGAGAAGGAAGAUGCAAUCCGUUGGGUAUGCCGGGUUGAGGCACCAGACUUCGAUAUGAUGUUAAUUACUGACAGAAGGGAAGCUAUAUGACUUGACCAUGGUGGAUGAUCUGUGGCGCACUUGUGGAUAUGGAACUUUCUGAAUACAUGAAAUACCUAGAUGUUUCUAGGAUACAUGAGCCAAAACUAACAGACGUAACAAGUUGUCCUAUUCUUCACCGUUACAUGUAAUGAUAAAAAAAAGUCACCAAAGCAAAGGGAUCUGAGCCUGGCAAUUUCCUGGAAAGACUGAUGAAGGAACAUGUUGAGUCCAGAUGGAAAAAGGGAACACGGGGAGGAAGAGGCUGAGUUAUCAGGUGCAUGCACAAAGGUCCCAGUUCAGUUCCUUGACACAUGUAGUGUAUGUAAUGGAUGAAGGAGAGUGAUGGGUGCUGGGGUGUCCAUUGCUGCUAUUCAAUGCAUGAAGUUUACAAUCUGAGUUCAGUUAUGUAGUCCUUUCUUUUUGCCUUCUGAUGAAGAAUCGUAUCACUGUAUGGUGUAUUUCCAUGUAAUAAGUAUGAAAUGGUGGUGUACUUAUUGGCUAGAUGGAGUAUAAAGUAUAAUGGUAAAACACAUGAAGAUGAGAAAAAAAUGUUUUUAUUAUUUAACAUCUACAUAUUUUACAUAUAUUGUAAAGUACAACACAACACAACAUCCAUCUAUUGUAGAUACAAGUACAACAAUACUGUACAAAGGCAGUAUAUACAUGUACUGUAUACCCUAACGGGCUCUGCUAUCGCUCUGCCAUUGACCCAAAAGUCGUUGUUGCUCUUCAUACCAGCUGAAGCUGAGGAGGAUAUACUUUUCAGAAUUCUUGUAUUUCCUCCCCUGAUCUGUUGAAUCGAAGCACUUGGCCCCGCCUUGCAGUUUUGAAAGCAAUCAUCACUAGAAUAGUGGCUUCUGCACAUGUGAUGCUCAAUUCGACCACGGUGUCUAGCUUCCUUGUGUGAACCAAGCGAAGGCGGUGGCUGGCAAUUUCCUGGAAAGACCGCUGAAAAGGGAACACGGUUGGUUGCUGUGUGACACUGUGUAGGUGUAGCACGUCCUUUUCUUCUCGUGCCACUAGUCAGCAAUAUCUGGCCGUUCUUGCAUGGAAAAUUUGGGAGAAAUCCACCAAGGAUGACCGCUUCAACUUAAUAGUAGUACUGUAUGAUUUUUUUGAAGGGGAAAGUGAGACUAAGUUAUCAAAAAAAUAAAUCGAUGAAGGUUGAUGCUUUUGAUCUCCAUAGGAUUUGGAGUCUGCCCGGUGAUAUGUACUGGAUGCAUCUUAUCUUGCCUUCGCACAAUUGCAAUCUGGAGUACUAUCUUAUUAGUGACUAAUGACUUUGAUUUGAAGGAGGCUGUUAGCUGUGAGUUGUCAGACUUUGAUUUGAGACGAUGAACUGCAGGAAGGAAGGUCAGGUUCCCAAUGUUUAAUACCCCAUGCAUUCCUACUCCCUCCGUUCCUAAAUAUAAGUCUUUCUAGAGAUUACACUACGACUACAUAUGGAUAUAUAUAGACAUAUUUUAGAGUGUAGAUUCACUCAUUUUGCUCCGUAUGCAGUCCGCAUUGGAAUCUCUAAAAAGACUUAUAUUAAGGAAUGGAGGGAGUAGAUGCGAUUCUGGUUUUGCGAAUUAAACAAGGCAUGUGUACAACCAUAGUAUCUUGGUUUGUUGCGUCACUUAUACUCUUGAUGAUAUUCCAUUCCUAAAUACAGUAGAUUGUCAAAAUAUUAUUUGCAAAAUCCAGACGAUAAUCUGAAAAUAGUGGAAAGUUCACGAUUCAGUGUGUGAACCCUUCUUAGGGUUUUGCUUUUAUUUUGUUUAAAUAAACUGCAUUCUGUGGGCACGCAAUGCAUGUGUACAAAGAACCACGUACACUAACUUCUAGUGGAUGUUUUCAUGGAUAUUUUUGUGAAAUUUGUUGCCAGCAGUAUAUAAUUAUCAGUCUGGAGUUCACAAUUCAGGGAGCUUUAGUAUUUGCUGGUUAAUUUUUGGUACAUGAGGCAAAUGAUGUCGUCUUUGCUGUUUUUUUUUUGUUACAUUGUUAUUAAUCGAAUUGGAAAUCCAGCUUUUUUUCGUCAUUCUUCUUUGAAUGCAAGGCUUGAAUAUGUGUUGUUGCUGCUGAUGUUUGCUUUAGUUUCUUAAUGUGUAAUUUAUUGCUUGUUACGUAUUUGACACGGAAGACAUUCAAACCUUAGUAUCUCUGUGUGCUAACAUGCAAAAUAGGUGAAAUAAUGAGUACGAAAUCUCCUGUAGAGGAUUGAUUCGAGGUGCAUAGUAAAAAAAAGUGUUUAGGCAAUAGAAAAGCAGAAAAGUACAUCUAGUUUAUAAAAGGCAGGGCUGUAACAUUUUCCCUAAAAAAAGUACAUCCAGUUCGUCCCAUUUGCACUGUACUGCUGUGAAGCAAUCAGGAUGUAUGCUUUGGCUGUGUAUGUUGGUAUCACCAUCGAUCUCAAUGAUUGGUACAUGAGCAAUUUUACGCCAAUCUCUUCCACUGUUUUCUUGGCAACUCUCUAUUUGAAAUGGGCAUCCUUUGAUGUACCGUUCUUUCAACGACUUCUAAUUAAGCAAAGUUCAAAGAAGCACUAGACAUUAAUUAUGUGUUUGGCCACCUACU